rnacentral:rRNA from 1 species
AUACGGAGGGUCCGAGCGUUAUCCGGAAUCAUUGGGUUUAAAGGGUCCGUAGGCGGGAAUCUAAGUCAGUGGUGAAAUCUUGCAGCUCAACUGUAAGAUUGCCAUUGAUACUGGAUUUCUUGAAUUAGUGUGAAGUGGUUAGAAUGUGUAGUGUAGCGGUGAAAUGCAUAGAUAUUACACAGAAUACCAAUUGUGAAGGCAGAUCACUAACACUAUAUUGACGCUGAGGGACGAAAGCGUGGGGAGCGAACAGGAUUAGAAACCCCGGUAGUCC